rnacentral:ncRNA from 2 species
UUCUUAUCCAGAGCGGCUGAGGGACUGGCCCUAUGAAGCCCGGCAACCUUCUUGGUUAUCCGAGAAAGGUGCUAAUUCCUGCAGAAGAUUUUCUUUCUUCUGAAAGAUAAGAA